UGCAGGAGGCAGCUCAGUCAUAAUAAACUUAAGUAUAUAUAUAUAUAUAUACUGGCAAGGUAUAUGAAAUCAAUUUAACUGUAAGCAGUUGUUGUUAAACAACGUAUUAUUUUACCUGUUUCAUUCAUAAAAAUCUGUGGGAAUAUCAUUGAUCGUUUUGAUCCAAUAGCUGAAUAGAAGGCGGGGCUUAGACUGCUAAUAAAUUGAGCCCUCCAAACUUGAAUAUUACAUUGAAACACAUGGUGUAGGCGAUAUAAUGUGUAUAACUACAAUUCAUGAUACUGAUGCAACAGUUGUGUUAUGAUAUUUAUUGUAGAUUAGAAUUUUAUCUUUUAUUCAAAAGGACGAUAUUAGAAACGAGAAAAAUAUAUUGCUCAAUAGAAGACUAAGACGACGAGAUAUUAGAUUUUAAAUUUUUGAAAAAAUUAAAUCGAAUUUAAAAUUAACAAUGCAGACAACUAUCUUAUAUAAAGUGUUGAAAGUGACUUUAGUUAUAGUGGUAUUGAGUUGCUGUUCUCGGAAGUCAUCCGCUGUACCCAGUGGCAUGCGAUGUUACAAUCCACACAGUUGUCUAAAUGGAGGAACUCUUAUAAUGCCGAGAUCUAUAUUCGGGUACUGCCGGUGUCUAUGUACAAGAGACUGGGGAGGACCUAUGUGUGAACUAAAAAGAUACCCUAGAAUACGAUUUAAGAAACUUAUUAGAAUUAAACAUGCUUUGAAAAAUAUACUCAGUAAGCGAAUGGUGAUAAGCUGAUAAAGAGUAAAAAUAUGGUAAGUUAACAUUUAUUUAUUUAUUUUGUAUGU
rnacentral:lncRNA from 1 species